GUGGGUCCAAAGAAGUCCAUCGCAUAGUGGUCAGACUUCAUCAUUGUUUAACAUAACAACAUGGGGGCUCUUUAUAUGUGAUUCAGUUGGCAACUUCUGUUUCAAUAUGAGCAUUUCGUUUCUUAUCUUUUAGAUCUCUUUGGAUAAAAGAUGCUGGCUAAUUGGAGGUGCUAAUGCAUCUGAGCGGAUUGAAAGAUAUGCUUCAUCAGUGCUACCUAGUGUUUCUGCAAGGGCAUUGACACAAGAUUUUUAAAGGCAUAGAUAUUUUUGCAACUAAAAGUAUACUAUGUCUUGGCCCUUGUCCCUGUGCUGGAUGAAAUUCAGAUGAGGAUGGCAUCUAACCUGUGGGUCAGAGGUUUGUCAAAGCCUUGCUCUAAGAAGACUCACCUUUUUUAGGCUGCUACUAUAUAUGCGUGCCCAUGUAAUGGUAAUCCUUAGACUUCCUUCACAUGGAGAGUGUGAAGAAUUUACAAUUGGGUCUUUGCAAAGCAGGCCUGUGACACUUACUACCCAGGGUGUCAGUAAAGGCGAGUUACCCUUCCUGGAAGAACUUUGA
rnacentral:lncRNA from 1 species